AUUGAACGCUGGCGGCAGGCCUAACACAUGCAAGUCGAGCGAGCGGCGGACGGGUGAGUAAUGUAUGGGGACUGCCCGAUAGAGGGGGAUAACUACUGGAAACGGUGGCUAAUACCGCAUACUAUCGGAUAACCCAUAUGGGAUUAGCUAGUAGGUGGGGUAAAGGCUCACCUAGGCGACGAUCUCUAGCUGGUCUGAGAGGAUGAUCGUCAACAUGGGGACUGUGACACGGCCCAGAUUCUUACGGAGGCAGCAGGGGGGAAUAUUGCAAAAUGGGGACAAGCCUGAUGCAGCCAUGCCGCGUGUAUGAAGAAUGCCUUGUGGUUGUAAAGUACUUUCAGCGGGGAGGCUUUACCCACAGAAGAAGCACCGGCUAACUCCGUGCCAGCAGCCGCGGUAAUAC
rnacentral:rRNA from 1 species